rnacentral:rRNA from 1 species
CCUACGGUGUGCAGCAGUGAGGACUCUUGGUCACUGGUCGCGAGCCUGAACCAGCCAAGUAGCGUGAAGGAUGACUGCCCUACGGGUUGUAAACUUCUUUUAUAAAGGAAUAAAGUGAGGCACGUGCGCCUUUUUGUAUGUACUUUAUGAAUAAGGAUCGUCUAACUCCGUGCCAGCAGCCGCGGUAAUACGGAGGAUCCGAGCGUUAUCCGGAUUUAUUGGGUUUAAAGGGAGCGUAGAUGGGUUGUUAAGUCAGUUGUGAAAGUUUGCGGCUCAACCGUAAAAUUGCAAUUGAUACUGGCAGCCUUGAGUACAGUUGAGGUAGGCGGAAUUCGUGGUGUAGCGGUGAAAUGCUGAGAUAUCACGAAGAACUCCGAUUGCGAAGGCAGCUUACUAAACUGCAACUGACAUUGAUGCUCGAAAGUGUGGGUAUCAAACAGGAUUAGAUACCCCAGUAGUC